rnacentral:rRNA from 1 species
AUGGAGAAUUACCCCAUUCUCUUUGGGACGCAGCCCUCAUCUUCCACCUCCAAUUCAUACCACUUCGUGGCAGGAGCGAGCAGCCAUGACCAUCUCCAUCACCAUGGUCAAGCAGCUGGCAAUAACUCCAGCGGGGGCGGCGGCUUGAACCAAGGCCUCUUCCCGGGGGCCAAGCAGGAGGAGCCCUCCAACUCAAAGGAUGGUGGUGGUGAUGAUGGUGCGGGAAGUAGUUCACAGGGCGUCGGCGAGGCGGACGUCGUCGUCGGGAGGAAGAAAGGCGAGAAAAGGGAGCGGCGGCCUCGGUUCGCGUUCCAGACGCGCAGCCAGGUCGACAUCCUCGACGACGGCUACCGGUGGAGGAAGUACGGGCAGAAGGCCGUCAAGAACAACAACUUCCCCAGGAGCUACUACCGGUGCACGCACCAAGGAUGCAACGUGAAGAAGCAGGUGCAGCGGCUAUCGCGGGACGAAGGUGUGGUGGUAACGACAUACGAGGGCACCCACACGCACCCAAUUGAGAAGUCUAAUGACAACUUUGAGCACAUACUCACCCAGAUGCAGGUCUACUCAGGCAUCAACAACGUCUCCCAAACCUUUGGCAACCAACACAUGUUUCAAUGA